rnacentral:rRNA from 1 species
UACGAAGGGGGCUAGCGUUGCUCGGAAUCACUGGGCGUAAAGGGUGCGUAGGCGGGUCUUUAAGUCAGGGGUGAAAUCCUGGAGCUCAACUCCAGAACUGCCUUUGAUACUGAGAAGCUUGAGUCUGGGAGAGGUGAGUGGAACUGCGAGUGUAGAGGUGAAAUUCGUAGAUAUUCGCAAGAACACCAGUGGCGAAGGCGGCUCACUGGCCCGGUACUGACGCUGAGGUGCGAAAGCGUGGGGAGCAAACAGG